rnacentral:rRNA from 1 species
UGGGGAAUUUUGGACAAUGGGCGAAAGCCUGAUCCAGCAAUGCCGCGUGUGUGAAGAAGGCCUUCGGGUUGUAAAGCACUUUUGUCCGGAAAGAAAUGGCUCUGGUUAAUAUCUGGGGUCGAUGACGGUACCGGAAGAAUAAGGACCGGCUAACUACGUGCCAGCAGCCGCGGUAAUACGUAGGGUCCAAGCGUUAAUCGGAAUUACUGGGCGUAAAGCGUGCGCAGGCGGUUGUGCAAGACCGAUGUGAAAUCCCCGAGCUUAACUUGGGAAUUGCAUUGGUGACUGCACGGCUAGAGUGUGUCAGAGGGGGGUAGAAUUCCACGUGUAGCAGUGAAAUGCGUAGAGAUGUGGAGGAAUACCGAUGGCGAAGGCAGCCCCCUGGGAUAACACUGACGCUCAUGCACGAAAGCGUGGGGAGCAAACAGG